AAACUUCCAACAACGGAUCUCUUGGUUCUGGCAUCGAUGAAGAACGCAGCGAAAUGCGAUAAGUAAUGUGAAUUGCAGAAUUCAGUGAAUCAUCGAAUCUUUGAACGCACAUUGCGCCCCGUGGUAUUCCGCGGGGCAUGCCUGUUCGAGCGUCAUUU
rnacentral:rRNA from 1 species